rnacentral:rRNA from 1 species
UACGUAGGCAGCGAGCGUUGUUCGGAGUUACUGGGCGUAAAGGGUGCGUAGGUGGUUUUCCAAGUUUGGUGUGAAAUCUCCCGGCUCAACUGGGAGGGUGCGCCGAAAACUGGAGGACUGGAGUACCGGAGAGGUAAGCGGAAUUCCUGGUGUAGCGGUGAAAUGCGUAGAGAUCAGGAGGAACACCUGUGGUGUAGACAGCUUACUGGACGGUGACUGACGCUGAGGCACGAAAGCGUGGGUAGCAAACAGG